CGUUUAAAUGUUACUUAUGAAAUAACCAAAUAAAUAGAGCAACAGAAUUUAGUGUUCCCCAUGAGAAGUGUGUGUAUAUAUAAUACGCAGCUUUAUGUAAGUUAAUAUUCCGUUAUAUUCCUUGGCUAUUCAGAACGGCAGAAUCGUCAUGCAUGCUUAUAGUGUUAAUGACACGCGCGACUUUAUAUAAUAAAAGUUAAUCUUCGGCUUUACUUAAAGCUUAAUUAAAGCCAUUUUGAUUCAUUUUAAUAGCAGUUUCCCUGCA